GACGAACGCUGGCGGCGUGCUUAACACAUGCAAGUCGAACGGAGUGGCGAACGGGUGAGUAAGACGUGGGUGCCCUGCCCUGAACUUCGGGAUAAGCCUGGGAAACUGGGUCUAAUACCGGAUAGUGGGGGAUGGGCCCGCGGCCUUUCAGCUUGUUGGUGGGGUAAUGGCCUACCAAGGCGGCGACGGGUAGCCGGCCUGAGAGGGUGGACGGCCAAAUUGGGACUGAGACACAGUCCAGAGUCCUACGGGAGGCAGCAGUGGGGAAUAUUGCACGAUGGGGGGAAGCGUGAUGCAGCGACGCCGCGUGGGGGAUGACGGCCUUCGGGUUGUAAACUCCUUUCACCAUCGACGCGGUAGAUGGAGAAGAAGCACCGGCUAACUACGUGCCAGCCGCCGCGGUAAUAC
rnacentral:rRNA from 1 species